rnacentral:rRNA from 1 species
ACUACGGGAGGCAGCAGUGAGGAAUAUUGGUCAAUGGGCGGGAGCCUGAACCAGCCAAGCAGCGUGAGGGAAGACGGUACAGCGUAUCGUAAACCUCUUUUGUCAGGGAACAAAGCCGGGGACUAGUCCCCGGCUGAGGGUACCUGAAGAAAAAGCAUCGGCUAACUCCGUGCCAGCAGCCGCGGUAAUACGGAGGAUGCGAGCGUUAUCCGGAUUUAUUGGGUUUAAAGGGUGCGCAGGCGGCCUGUUAAGUCAGCGGUAAAAGCUCGGGGCUAAACCCCGGCGAGCCGUUGAAACUGGCGGGCUGGAGUUGGAGAGAAGUACGCGGAAUGCGCGGUGUAGCGGUGAAAUGCUUAGAUAUCGCGCAGAACCCCGAUUGCGAAGGCAGCGUACCGGCUCCACACUGACGCUGAGGCACGAAAGUGUGGGUAUCGAACAGGAUUAGAUACCCGUGUAGUC